GUUGUAGUCUGGAGAAGUGUUUUCCGCGCUGGACCGUGUAUAAGUCUCUUGGAACAGAGCGUCAUAGAGGGUGAGAAUCCCGUCUUUGACACGGACUACCAGUGCUUUGUGAUGCGCUCUCGAAGAGUCGAGUUGUUUGGGAAUGCAGCUCAAAAUGGGUGGUAAAUUCCAUCUAAAGCUAAAUAUUGGCGAGAGACCGAUAGCGAACAAGUACCGUGAGGGAAAGAUGAAAAGCACUUUGGAAAGAGAGUUAAACAGUACGUGAAAUUGCUGAAAGGGAAACGCUUGAAGUCAGUCGCGUCAUUUGGAACUCAGCCUUGCUUUUGCUUGGUGCACUUUCUGAAUGAUGGGCCAGCAUCGAUUUCGACCGUCGGAAAAGGGUUGGGGGAAUGUGGCAUCCUUCGGGGUGUGUUAUAGCCUCUAGUCGCAUACGGCGGUUGGGAUCGAGGAACGCAGCGCGCCGCAAGGCAGGGGUUCGCCCACUUUCGCGCUUAGGAUGCUGGCAUAAUGGCUUUAAACGACCCGUCUUGAAACACGGACCAAGGAGUCUAACAUGCCUGCGAGUGUUUGGGUGGAAAACCCGAGCGCGUAAUGAAAAGUGAAAGUUGAGACCUCUGUCGUGGAGGGCAUCGACGCCCGGACCUGACGUUCUCUGAAGGAUCCGCGGUAGAGCAUGUAUGUUGGGACCCGAAAGAUGGUGAACUAUGCCUGAAUAGGGUGAAGCCAGAGGAAACUCUGGUG
rnacentral:rRNA from 1 species